UAGUUUUUAUACGACCGCAAAAAAAUUUUUGUGGUCGUAUAUUGGUAUGACGUUGGCGUCGUCGUCGUCGUCGUCGUCGUCGUCGUCCGGCGUCGUCGUCCGAAUACACAUUAGUUUUCGCACUCUAACUUUAGUUUAAGUGAAUGGAUCUCAAUGAAAUUUUACCAUAAGGUUCAAUACCACAAAAGGAAGGUGGGGAUUGAUUUUGGGGGUUAUGGUACUAACGGUUAAGGAAUUAGGGGCCAAAAGGGGCCAAAAAUAAGCAUUUUUGUAACUUCCAGACAUAACUUGUGUGUAAGUGUAUGGAUCUCUCUGACAUUGUACCACAAGGUUCCAUAUCACAAAGGGAAUGCUGGGAUUGAUUUUGGGGGUAAUUGCCUCCAAAUUUAGGAAUUGGGGGCCAAAAAGGGGCAAAAAACAAGCAUUUUUCUAGUUUCAUGACAAUAUCUUGUUUGUAAGUGUAUGGAUCUUUAUGAAAUUGUACUACAAGGUUCCAUAUCACAAAGGGAAGGCUGGGAUUGAUUUUGGGGGUUUUCCCUCAAAAUUUUAGUAAUUAGGGGCCAUAAAAGGGCAAAAAAAACAUGCAUUUUUCUAGUUUCAGGACAAUAACUUGUGUGUAAGUGUAUGGAUCUUUAUGAAAUUGUACUGCAAGGUUCCAUAUCACAAAGGGAAAGCUGGAAUUGAGUUUGGGGGUAAUUGCCCUAAACGUUUAGGAAUUUGGGGCCAAAAAGGGGCCAAAAAACAAGCAUUUUUCUAGUUUCCAGACAAUAACUUGUGUUCAAGUGUAUGAAUCUCUCUGAAAUUGUACUGCAAGGUACCAUACCACAAAGGGAAAGCUGGGAUUGAGUUUGGGGGUGAUGAAUCAUAAGGGGGUUCAAAAAAUUGGGGGGGGGGGGGAUUUUUUUUUCCAUUUUUUUUCUUUAACAUUUUCCAUUUUAAAUUGGUUAUUUCUGAUUUAUAUAUAAAAGCAAUUAAUAAUGAUAUGGUUUGAAUAGGCAUACAUGUGAACCUCCCGACGGGAGUACAAUAAUCCCGUUUUCAGGGGUCUCCUCCCGACCUCCCGUUGAAGAGGAAAAAAUCCUGUAUGAAAUUUUUCAUGAAUGAAAAAUUUCUGCCCAACAUAUCAUCUCAGGCAUCUGGUGUAACUGACAUUACCUGAAGUUAUAUUUUACCUGUAAAUCAAUUAACAUGCAUAAUUAUAUGGCUUCACUUGUCAGCUUGGGUGUCAAACAUACAGGUAAUCAACGAUUUUUACCUCAGGCUAACUGCCGUUGUGUAACAAAAACUGUGUAUUUAUUGGGUUACUUCCCUUGAUUUAUCCUGUUUUAAGUUACUUUCCUUUUAAUAAUGAAAAUUUUUAAAAGAAUAUAAAUAAAAUAUAAAUUGAACAAAUAAUCAUAAAAGGAUGGUUAUUAAAUGAUUUUAAAUGUCUUAGGACAAAUAAAAAAAUAAUAAUUUGAAAAUUAUUUGAGGAUUCUAGACUUCCUUUCAAGGCUUAAAUUGAAAUUUAUAUAAUAACUAUGACCCUAAUUUUACAGAUAAAAUGAUUUUCUGAGUUUGCAAAUAAAAACUAUUUGCAAGAGAAAAAAUAAAAAAUAAAAACUAUUUGCAGAUAGCUAAACAAAUGUUCUGG